rnacentral:rRNA from 1 species
AGCGAACGCUGGCGGCAGGCCUAACACAUGCAAGUCGAACGAACUCUUCGGAGUUAGUGGCGGACGUGUGAGUAACACGUGGGAACGUGCCUUUUGGUUCGGAAUAACUCAGGGAAACUUGUGCUAAUACCGAAUGUGCCCUUCGGGGGAAAGAUUUAUCGCCAUUAGAGCGGCCCGCGUCUGAUUAGCUAGUUGGUGAGGUAACGGCUCACCAAGGCGACGAUCAGUAGCUGGUCUGAGAGGAUGACCAGCCACACUGGGACUGAGACACGGCCCAGACUCCUACGGGAGGCAGCAGUGGGGAAUCUUGCGCAAUGGGCGAAAGCCUGACGCAGCCAUGCCGCGUGAAUGAUGAAGGUCUGAGGAUUGUAAAAUUCUUUCACCGGGGACGAUAAUGACGGUACCCGGAGAAGAAGCCCCGGCUAACUGCG